CUUCAAAAUUAUUGUUGUUUGCACGAGCUUUAAUUAAACCAGAUACAGUUUUGUCACCAGUUUUAAUCGCCCGUGGGAUAUGAUCAACGUAUUGAGGUUUGAUAAGAGCCUUAAUGUUAUCUUCAACAACUUUGGUGAAAAAGUUUUGAAGUUCACUACCACGGAAGUAUUUGACAACUUCAGCCCAGUCAGGAGGAUUAUCAUAACGACCUAAAUUAGGCUUCAUUUUUCCGGAUAGGAUCUUUAACGCAGUAGACUUUCCAAUACCGUUAGUACCAACUAAGCCCAAAACUUGACCAGGACGAGGAGUAGGCAAACGAUGAAGCUUGAAAGAAUUAGCAGAGUAACGAUGGGUUACUUCACUUUCCAAGUUAGUGGGCAAAUUAAUAAUGUUGAUAGCUCCGAAUGGACAUUUUUUGACACAGAUACCACAACCAAUACAUAAUGUUUCACUAAUAAAUGCAAUGCGAUCGGUAGGAUUAACUUCAAUACACAAU